UACGUAGGGUGCGAGCGUUAAUCGGAAUUACUGGGCGUAAAGCGUGCGCAGGCGGUUUUGUAAGCCAGAUGUGAAAGCCCCGGGCUUAACCUGGGAAUGGCAUUUGGGACUGCAAGGCUUGAGUGCGGCAGAGGAGACUGGAAUUCCCGGUGUAGCAGUGAAAUGCGUAGAUAUCGGGAGGAAUACCGAUAGCGAAGGCAGGUCUCUGGGCCGUAACUGACGCUGAGGAGCGAAAGCAUGGGGAGCGAACAGG
rnacentral:rRNA from 1 species